UGCAGGUCGGCUAAGGCUGCCAACAAACCUCCUGAGCAGGAAGAAAACACUUAGAGCUGUCAAAGCACUUAAAGUUGAUUUUUGUUUCCUUACUUGCUUGGACCCUGCCCUCUCCUUUGCUCCUUGACCCUGAGAGAAGGAGAUCUGUGCCUCCAUUAUAUUUGAGAUUAGCUGAGUCUGUGGAAGGGCCAAAGGUCUCUUCUAGCCACUCUCUCCAUCCCCGAAGUUGUCUCUUGUCUGCUUUACCUCCAAGUGGUGAUAGGAGAGCUCCGUGAAACCAUUGAAAGGACUCCCAUGGUAACUGGCUCCUUGGCUAACCAAGCCACAUCUGUUGCAAACCACAGCAACUGCAUUGAUAUCCCAG
rnacentral:lncRNA from 1 species